AUAAGUUGUUCCAUGUCGAUAUGCUCAGAUGUCUGUGGAAAAAGUUAUUCGAGAUACAAAGACUUAACAUUUUCUCGGUUUUUCUAAAAAAAAUCCUUAUUUUUCCACUUUGCAUGCUCAUAACUCGGUCAGUUUUCGACGGAUCUUCAGUUGUAACACAGAUUUGGAUAGAUCAGCUCAUUGGCUACCAUAAGUUGUUCCAUGUCGAUAUGCUCAGAUGUCUGUGGAAAAAGUUAUUUGAGAUACAAAGACUUAACAUUUUCUCGGUUUUUCUAAAAAAAUCCUCAUUUUUCCACUUUGCAUGCUCAUAACUCGGUCAGUUUUCGACGGAUCUUCAGUUGUAACACAGAUUUGGAUAGAUCAGCUCAUUAGCUACCAUAAGUUGUUCCAUGUCGAUAUGCUCAAGCUGCGGGGCCACGACAGUUGAGACUUUCCCUCAAACUUCCUCAGUCACUCAAAUCCCUCAAAAAGCGUCUCAAAACCAGUGUUGCCGUGGCCGUUUGAGGUUUUCCUCAAAUUCUGUCACACAAACAAUCACUCAUGCUGCCUCUCUUUUCGUCAGCGACAACAAACAGUGUUUGACAAAUGCUACGUAUUUCAUGUAAUUGUAAUCUUUGUUCAAAGGUGUUUUUUGAUCAAUUCAAUGGAAAAUAUGGCCAAUAAAAAGUUGUUUUAAGGAAAAGAAAGUAUUUAAACAUUUAAUCAAUCAAAAGAACGAGAUUCAAGGAUAGUCUUUCGCAUAAAAAGUUUAGUUUUUAAAUUAAAACGUAUACAUAAAUUGUGUCACACACUGUGCAACAAAUGAACAAUUUAGAGUCGCAAAAAACAAAAAAAAUAAACACACAAAUACGGUGUUAAAUUAUAAUUAAUGCUAAUUUUAGUUCUUCAGUAGGUAUUUGCAUUAACAAUGGCACAAGAAAAGUGUAAUUUCAUUGAAAAAAACUGCAAACAAAAAUAUGUUUUGUUUACAUUCUGAACGGCUGAGGCAUCGGAACUGUCAAAACGAUUCCUCAAAAAAAGUCUCAAAAAGUUUUUGAGGUUUUUGUUGAUCGGCCAGGUUUUCCUCAAAACGCAAAUCCCUCAAAAUCACUCAUGAGUUCCUGAGGUUUUUAAUUCUGAGGGAAUCCUCAACUGUCGUGGCCCCGCAGCUUCAGAUGUCUGUGGAAAAAGUUAUUCGAGAUACAAAGACUUAACAUUUUCUCGGAUUUUCCAAAAAAAUCCUUAUUUUGCCACUUUGCAUGCUCAUAACUCGGUCAGUUUUCGACGGAUCUUCAGUUGUAACACAUAUUUGGAUAGAUCUGGUCAUUAGCUACCAAAAGUUAUUCUACGCCGAUAUGCUCAGAUGUCUGUGGAAAAAGUUAUUCGAGAUACAAAGACUUAACAUUUUCUCGGUUUUUCUAAAAAAAUCCUCAUUUUGCCACUUUGCAUGCUCAUAACUCGGUCAGCUUUCGACGGAUCUUCAGUUGUAACACAGAUUUGGAUAGAUCAGCUCAUUGGCUACCAUAAGUUGUUCCAUGUCGAUAUGCUCAGAUGUCUGUGGAAAAAGUUAUUCGAGAUACAAAGACUUAACAUUUUCUCGGUUUUUCUAAAAAAUUCCUCAUUUUUCCACAUUGCAUGCUCAUAACUCGGUCAGUUUUCGACGGAUCUUCAGUUGUAACACAGAUUUGGAUAGAUCAGCUCAUUGGCUACCAUAAGUUGUUCCAUGUCGAUAUGCUCAGAUGUCUGUGGAAAAAGUUAUUUGAGAUACAAAGACUUAACAUUUUCUCGGUUUUUCUAAAAAAAUCCUCAUUUUUCCACUUUGCAUGCUCAUAACUCGGUCAGUUUUCGACGGAUCUUCAGUUGUAACACAGAUUUGGAUAGAUCAGCUCAUUAGCCACCAUAAGUUGUUCCAUGUCGAUAUGCUCAAGCUGCGGGGCCACGACAGUUGAGACUUUCCCUCAAACUUCCUCAGUCACUCAAAUCCCUCAAAAAGCGUCUCAAAACCAGUGUUGCCGUGGCCGUUUGAGGUUUUCCUCAAAUUCUGUCACACAAAUAAUCACUCAUGCUGCCUCUCUUUUCGUCAGCGACAACAAACAGUGUUUGACAAAUGCUACGUAUUUCAUGUAAUUGUAAUCUUUGUUCAAAGGUGUUUUUUGAUCAAUUCAAUGGAAAAUAUGGCCAAUAAAAAUUGUUUUAAGGAAAAGAAAGUAUUUAAACAUUUAAUCAAUCAAAAGAACGAGAUUCAAGGAUAGUCUUUCGCAUAAAAAGUUUAGUUUUUAAAUUAAAACGUAUACAUAAAUUGUGUCACACACUGUGCAACAAAUGAACAAUUUAGAGUCGCAAAAAACAAAAAAAAUAAACACACAAAUACGGUGUUAAAUUAUAAUUAAUGCUAAUUUUAGUUCUUCAGUAGGUAUUUGCAUUAACAAUGGCACAAGAAAAGUGUAAUUUCAUUGAAAAAAACUGCAAACAAAAAUAUGUUUUGUUUACAUUCUGAACGGCUGAGGCAUCGGAACUGUCAAAACGAUUCCUCAAAAAAAGUCUCAAAAAGUUUUUGAGGUUUUUGUUGAUCGGCCAGGUUUUCCUCAAAACGCAAAUCCCUCAAAAUCACUCAUGAGUUCCUGAGGUUUUUAAUUCUGAGGGAAUCCUCAACUGUCGUGGCCCCGCAGCUUCAGAUGUCUGUGGAAAAAGUUAUUCGAGAUACAAAGACUUAACAUUUUCUCGGAUUUUCCAAAAAAAUCCUUAUUUUGCCACUUUGCAUGCUCAUAACUUGGUCAGUUUUCGACGGAUCUUCAGUUGUAACACAUAUUUGGAUAGAUCUGGUCAUUAGCUACCAAAAGUUAUUCUACGCCGAUAUGCUCAGAUGUCUGUGGAAAAAGUUAUUCGAGAUACAAAGACUUAACAUUUUCUCGGUUUUUCUAAAAAAAUCCUCAUUUUUCCACUUUGCAUGCUCAUAACUCGGUCAGCUUUCGACGGAUCUUCAGUUGUAACACAGAUUUGGAUAGAUCAGCUCAUUGGCUACCAUAAGUUGUUCCAUGUCGAUAUGCUCAGAUGUCUGUGGAAAAAGUUAUUCGAGAUACAAAGACUUAACAUUUUCUCGGUUUUUCUAAAAAAUUCCUCAUUUUUCCACAUUGCAUGCUCAUAACUCGGUCAGUUUUCGACGGAUCUUCAGUUGUAACACAGAUUUGGAUAGAUCAGCUCAUUGGCUACCAUAAGUUGUUCCAUGUCGAUAUGCUCAGAUGUCUGUGGAAAAAGUUAUUUGAGAUACAAAGACUUAACAUUUUCUCGGUUUUUCUAAAAAAAUCCUCAUUUUUCCACUUUGCAUGCUCAUAACUCGGUCAGUUUUCGACGGAUCUUCAGUUGUAACACAGAUUUGGAUAGAUCAGCUCAUUAGCUACCAUAAGUUGUUCCAUGUCGAUAUGCUCAAGCUGCGGGGCCACGACAGUUGAGACUUUCCCUCAAACUUCCUCAGUCACUCAAAUCCCUCAAAAAGCGUCUCAAAACCAGUGUUGCCGUGGCCGUUUGAGGUUUUCCUCAAAUUCUGUCACACAAACAAUCACUCAUGCUGCCUCUCUUUUCGUCAGCGACAACAAACAGUGUUUGACAAAUGCUACGUAUUUCAUGUAAUUGUAAUCUUUGUUCAAAGGUGUUUUUUGAUCAAUUCAAUGGAAAAUAUGGCCAAUAAAAAUUGUUUUAAGGAAAAGAAAGUAUUUAAACAUUUAAUCAAUCAAAAGAACGAGAUUCAAGGAUAGUCUUUCGCAUAAAAAGUUUAGUUUUUAAAUUAAAACGUAUACAUAAAUUGUGUCACACACUGUGCAACAAAUGAACAAUUUAGAGUCGCAAAAAACAAAAAAAAUAAACACACAAAUACGGUGUUAAAUUAUAAUUAAUGCUAAUUUUAGUUCUUCAGUAGGUAUUUGCAUUAACAAUGGCACAAGAAAAGUGUAAUUUCAUUGAAAAAAACUGCAAACAAAAAUAUGUUUUGUUUACAUUCUGAACGGCUGAGGCAUCGGAACUGUCAAAACGAUUCCUCAAAAAAAGUCUCAAAAAGUUUUUGAGGUUUUUGUUGAUCGGCCAGGUUUUCCUCAAAACGCAAAUCCCUCAAAAUCACUCAUGAGUUCCUGAGGUUUUUAAUUCUGAGGGAAUCCUCAACUGUCGUGGCCCCGCAGCUUCAGAUGUCUGUGGAAAAAGUUAUUCGAGAUACAAAGACUUAACAUUUUCUCGGAUUUUCCAAAAAAAUCCUUAUUUUGCCACUUUGCAUGCUCAUAACUUGGUCAGUUUUCGACGGAUCUUCAGUUGUAACACAUAUUUGGAUAGAUCUGGUCAUUAGCUACCAAAAGUUAUUCUACGCCGAUAUGCUCAGAUGUCUGUGGAAAAAGUUAUUCGAGAUACAAAGACUUAACAUUUUCUCGGUUUUUCUAAAAAAUUCCUCAUUUUUCCACUUUGCAUGCUCAUAACUCGGUCAGCUUUCGACGGAUCUUCAGUUGUAACACAGAUUUGGAUAGAUCAGCUCAUUGGCUACCAUAAGUUGUUCCAUGUCGAUAUGCUCAGAUGUCUGUGGAAAAAGUUAUUCGAGAUACAAAGACUUAACAUUUUCUCGGUUUUUCUAAAAAAUUCCUCAUUUUUCCACAUUGCAUGCUCAUAACUCGGUCAGUUUUCGACGGAUCUUCAGUUGUAACACAGAUUUGGAUAGAUCAGCUCAUUGGCUACCAUAAGUUGUUCCAUGUCGAUAUGCUCAGAUGUCUGUGGAAAAAGUUAUUUGAGAUACAAAGACUUAACAUUUUCUCGGUUUUUCUAAAAAAAUCCUCAUUUUUCCACUUUGCAUGCUCAUAACUCGGUCAGUUUUCGACGGAUCUUCAGUUGUAACACAGAUUUGGAUAGAUCAGCUCAUUAGCUACCAUAAGUUGUUCCAUGUCGAUAUGCUCAAGCUGCGGGGCCACGACAGUUGAGACUUUCCCUCAAACUUCCUCAGUCACUCAAAUCCCUCAAAAAGCGUCUCAAAACCAGUGUUGCCGUGGCCGUUUGAGGUUUUCCUCAAAUUCUGUCACACAAAUAAUCACUCAUG